UGCCAGACUCCUACGGGAGGCAGCAGUGGGGAAUAUUGCACAAUGGGGGAAACCCUGAUGCAGCGACGCCGCGUGAGCGAUGAAGUAUUUCGGUAUGUAAAGCUCUAUCAGCAGGGAAGAAAAUGACGGUACCUGACUAAGAAGCCCCGGCUAACUACGUGCCAGCAGCCGCGGUAAUACGUAGGGGGCAAGCGUUAUCCGGAUUUACUGGGUGUAAAGGGAGCGUAGACGGCAUGGCAAGUCAGAUGUGAAAGCCCGGGGCUCAACCCCGGGACUGCAUUUGAAACUGUCAGGCUGGAGUGCAGGAGAGGUAAGUGGAAUUCCUAGUGUAGCGGUGAAAUGCGUAGAUAUUAGGAGGAACACCAGUGGCGAAGGCGGCUUACUGGACUGUAACUGACGUUGAGGCUCGAAAGCGUGGGGAGCAAACAGGAUUAGAUACCCCAGUACC
rnacentral:rRNA from 1 species